CCCACCUAUCUUCCCUAACCCCUCUCACAACUCCUCUUCUCACACGCUAGAUCUCCAUCCAACUCCUCUCAAGCCCUCUCCUUCCAACCCCUCUCCGGCAAACCCCUCUCCCCGAACCUCUCCUCCGAACUCCUCUCCGUCAAGACCGCGGGCAAAAUUUCUUCACCUUAUUCCUUCACCUCUCCUCCGAACCCAUCUCUUCGCCUCCGUCGACUCAUUCACGCUUCCUUCACACUACUCUUCUUAGAGAAAUCGCCUUUAUAGGGGCGGCUAACCACUUGGGAGCUUGGUGGCGGUGAUCUGCGAAGCAAAUUGGAAGGUUGAGGUUGCGAGAUGGACCGCCGCAGUUGGAUCUGGACAUGAAAGUCAUCGGAAAAGGGCAGCAGUGAGACCUAGAGCUCGGAUUCGGUAUCUCAGAGAGGUACUCUGGUGAACAGACCAAGCAUGCAUCAAAGAAACGAUCUUUUUUAGGAGAAAAAAGAAAGAGACGAAGCUCAAUUUAUCCAGACAAGAAGAUUGAGUUACAAUUGAUUCCAGAUAUGUUUAUGUUGGAAAUCUUCCUUCAUCUAUCUCGACUUCAGACCUUGAGCAAGUCUUUAAGAAUUUUGGUAAAUUGAGAUCAGAUGGUGUUUUUAUUAGAAGCCGGAAGGAGUCUGAUGUUUUUUAUGCUUUCAUUGAAUAUCAAGAUGCCAUUGGUGUACAAAAUGCACUUAAGGCAUCUCCAAUACAGUUAAAUGGGAGAUUGAUUCAUGUUGAGGGGAGAAGACCUAAUAGCGGUGUAUCACGAGGAAAUACACAGUGGUAGGUGUUUUGUCCCAGUCUCAAGCCGACAAUCUUUUUUAUCAUAUCUAGUAGAAGUAAGCAUGCAGAUCGUUGUCUUCGAGGCCGACUAGCUAUUUUGUGCUUUUUUAUUUUAAAUUCGAAUGCCACUAUCUACUUUGAAAUAGAACUAUUUAGUCUUUGUGUAUAGUUAA